AUUACGAAGGACGAAUAAGGCUGUCACCACCUAUGGCUACCUUUGCGGCUCGUGGGAUAUAAGGCAAAUGAUGGAUAACCCUUACCCUAGACAUCAUGCCUACGCUACUGAUUACUACUGCAGUCUAACUACGUCUGAGCUCCUGUAGCAAACAAAUAGCACUAUGUAUAAAUACAGAGCGACCAACCCGCGAGUAAGAGAACUGAUCUCACUUAUAUAUAAGUACUACUAAUGUAUACUGUAUCAAGGUCUCAACUCAUACAUGAGAGCAUACAAGCCUAUACUACGAUAGGAACGGUAUAUGACUAGCAUACGAGCAUAUAAACAUAGCAAGGAUAAUAGACUACUCAUGCAUAUAAGAACCAGUAUAACACUAUCAGAUGAAAUCACGAAUACGAACUCACUUUACUAAAAGGAAGCCAGCAUCCGUCGAGAUACAAGCUAGGAGGAGAGCGCUGACACAUCGGCACUGCUUCCAAACUACCCCUCACUCUCACCCUAUUCUAAGCACAUGCUAGGAAAGGCUUUGCCUUUGGAGUGGAGCUCUACUUCUCUCUUGGAUGAUGUUGUGUGUCCUCAAAUGAGGCCCCCCUCUACUAUUUAUAGCGUGGAGG
rnacentral:lncRNA from 1 species